rnacentral:rRNA from 1 species
GACGGGGGGUCCUAGCGUUGUUCGGAAUCAUUGGGCGUAAAGCGUGUGCAGGUGGCUUUGUAAGUUGGAUGUGAAAUCCUUGGGCUCAACCCAAGAAGUGCAUUCAAAACUACAAAACUUGAGUAUGGAAGAGGGUCGUGGAAUUCCAGGUGUAGUGGUGAAAUACGUAGAUAUCUGGAGGAACACCGGUGGCGAAGGCGGCGACCUGGUCCUAUACUGACACUCAUACACGAAAGCGUGGGGAUCAAACAGG